rnacentral:tRNA from 1 species
UGGGGUGUAAUGUCUCCUUCCUGA